rnacentral:lncRNA from 1 species
CUUUCUGCCCCUGGAGGAAGGGGAGGGGCUGGGGAAGGGGAGCCAGUGAGAAGGGCUCUACCUGGGAGGAAGCUGAGAGAGGGCUGGGGAGACACUGACCCCUAUGUGAGACCCUUCCCCAGAUGGCCAGGAGUGACCUCAGCUUUCCCUGUGUGACCAGGGUUGUACCCUGAGAAAUGCAGAAUUUGGUUGUCUGUCAAUGGCAACUGAAAAAUCCUAGCUAAAAUAAUAUUGAUGAGUAGAAUCCAGGAGAGAGGCCUAGACAGCCACCCUCUAUAUUCUGGGGCACUAAACUGCGAAGGUGAUAUUCACCAAGUGCCUUCUAUGCGCCACACCCUGGGCCAACACUUUUCUUACUUGCUUCUAUCCAAGUGUCCCCUUUUCCUGGAAUCAUCUACCUGCUCAACUGCAUCCAGUGAUCUCCUACUCACCCUGCAAUACCCUCUUUCACCUCCUCCUCUCAGAG